AACGAACGCUGGCGGCAGGCUUAGCACAUGCAAGUCGAGCGCCCCGCAAGGGGAGCGGCAGACGGGUGAGUAACGCGUGGGAAUCUACCCAUCUCUACGGAAUAACGCACGGAAACGUGUGCUAAUACCGUAUACGUCCUUCGGGAGAAAGAUUUAUCGGAGAUGGAUGAGCCCGCGUUGGAUGAGCUAGUUGGUGGGGUAAAGGCCUACCAAGGCGACGAUCCAUAGCUGGUCUGAGAGGAUGAUCAGCCACACUGGGACGGAGACACGGCCCAGACUCCUAGGGGAGGCAGCAGUGGGGAAUAUUGGACAAUGGGCGCAAGCCUGAUCCAGCCAUGCCGCGUGAGUGAUGAAGGCCCUAGGGUUGUAAAGCUCUUUCACCGGUGAAGAUAAUGACGGUAACCGGAGAAGAAGCCCCGGCUAACUUCGUGCCAGCAGCCGCCGUAACAC
rnacentral:rRNA from 1 species